rnacentral:lncRNA from 1 species
GCACAGAAGACGAAGAGCUGGAAUAGAGCUCGCCUCGGCUCUGCUGGCCUUGGCUGCAGCUCUUCCAGAAACCCGGGGCGCCCACAGAAGAAUCUCUUACCUGGCUCUCUCUUCAGGGAUGACAUCAUCGGCUCACACCAGUCUUCCAGGACCACCUUCUGGAUGCCAAGGCUGCUGCUCGAGUACCUGCUGUGCACCUCUACCUCCUGGUACCCCAGCCACUCCCUCAAGUUGCCUGCAUGUUAUAUGGCCUAGCCAAGGAGCACGGAUUCCAGGAACCCACUACCAUACAGAGCAACUCCUUGUGGACCCCCCUGGGAUCAGGACAGCGAGGGACAAGCGACAAAGAGGAUCAUCAGUGGCCAGCUAGUUUCUCUGGGGUUCAAACCUUGAACCAGUGCCCUAGUGAGGGGGCACUGGCCAUGGCCCUUGACCUUUGCUCUGCUUGUGUCUUGAGUCUGAGCCCUUUCCUGUACAUCUGUGCUCGUGUUCAUCUGCUAGUGAACUGGAGUGCUGCCCUCCCCGAGGAGGGUCGUCCCUUGUGACUGAUCAUGCUGUCCUAACAAUGUCCUGAGCAAAAGGGUCCCUUUGGGAACCUCUCAGGAGGGGGACCCGGGUCAGGGGCGACCAGCAUCUUGCUGGCAACUCCGUGGGUGGGGUGGGGUGGGGUGCUUCCUUCUGGAAUGAGCACGUGGCUGACCCCCCAAGGCAUGUCCCCUCCCCCUCCUCCACCCACCUUCUCGGAGAUGUCCCUUUUGGGGUAGUGGGGACAUUAGGAGCAACCUCCUAGGGUUGUUGUGAGAAUUAAAUGAACUGCAGCAGCCUGAGGCAGGGCUGGGCAGAGACCUCAGCACAUGUUUGUUGAAAGGUUUGCAGGUGGAUCUAGUCCUCCCGUUCAUGGCUCAUGUGUCUCAACCAUUCUCUCGCAGACUCCUGCAGCCCCUAUGCCCAGGGCUCUCCUUGCGCCAGAGGUAGGUGGGAAAGAGAACUGGGAGAGCCCGGACUCACUCAUGAGAUUGAACUUAAAUUCACACGGAGGACACUUGGACUCUUGCCACAUUAGCCCCGGCUUCUCGAGGCCUGUCUACACUCGCUGCUUUCCUUCCUCACCUCCAAUUUCCCCUCCAACCCACUGCUUCCUGACUCGCUCUUCUCCAUCGAACGGCUCUCGCUCAGGCCUGUCGCGUCUUCCUGUGCCAUUUGCUGUUGUGCUCAGGUUCCACGAGCUGCCCAUCUCCACAGAAGAGCAGCUGGCAUUGCCCACCGGCCAUGCCGGCUGAAGAAAAGAAGACUGAGGACCCCAGGAUGCCCAGCGCGAGGACCCCAGGAAGCCCAGCGCGAGGACUCCACCCACGACGCCCAGCGCGAGGACUUCACGCACAACACGUUGCAACCCUCCUGGAUUAGGCCAAAGCCAUCAUCUGGAAUCCUGCGUGGGACCCUGGACACACGGACACAGACACCUGCCCCCAGGACCCUCCAACUGUAAAUCGAUUGGAAGCGCCCUUGUGAGCUGGGGCCUUCAAAGGGCUGAGGAGAAAAUGCAGGCCGAGAGACCAGCUUCUCAAAUAGGCUUCAAGCCUCCAUGACCUGAGCUCACCCCCUGGAAAUGUCUGGAAAACAUAAUGGGCAGGUUUUCUGUCUUCAAAGUUUCCAUCAAAACCUCUUCAAGUUCUUUAUUGUUUAGGACUGAGACACUUGGGGACAGUAAUGGGGACUUUCUUUUGUAUCUGUCUUGAAAGGCCAAAAUAUUUUUAUAUUGCUGUAGACAAAGCCACCUAUUUACAAAUGGACUCUUGUUCCGUCGUUUCCCACCAGGAAGACCGUACUAUGUUUGUGUCUCUAUGUAUUCUGGGGUCUUGAAACAGGUUUCUCAUGGGGAUGGCCAUUCACUAGAGCCCAGAGGGGCAGAAGGGGAAGUGUCUACCCUGCCAAGGGGGUCUGGGGAAGGAGGGGGGCUAGUCUCAGAUUUGCUCCUUGUAUGUCUAGGGUAAACCCUGGGAGAAUCUGGUGGUAAAAGAACAUAUGCUGUGUUUGCCCCACA